UGCUAUGAGUGUGGCGAGAAAGGCCACUAUGCUUAUGAUUGCCAUCGUUAUAGUCGCCGAAGGAGGAGCAGGUCCCGGUCUCGAUCCCGUUCGAGGUCCCGAGGAAGAAGGUAUUCUCGAUCACGYAGUCGUAGUCGUGGUAGGAGGUCAAGAUCAGCUUCUUAUCGUAGAUCCAGGUCCAUCUCUCCUCGUAGGUAUAGAUCAUUUUCACCUCGCAGAUCACGAUCUGGUUCUUUAAGGAGAUCAAGGUCUAGGUCCAGAUCACGCUCGAGAUCACGGUCUGCUGUCUGGCCCCGCAGCAGGUCUGGGUCCCAUGGUAGAUCUAAGUCUGGCUUACCUGCUAAAAGUCGCUCAAAGUCCAGAUCACCAUCUCCAAAGAGAAGUCAUUCGCCAUCAGGAAGCCCUUGAAAGGAGUGCAUGACCUGAGAGAGUGGAUUCAAAUUAAAAAAGUUAAAAGUUUAAAAAGAAUUUAUUUUGUUUACAUUAUUAUAAGGGAUUUUGUGGUGUCUUUAUAAAUGUAAGGGCUUAGUCCUAGAAGGCUAUUUCUAUCAACUAACAAUGGGCAUGACUCUGGAUCUUUUAAGUCUUAUUAGUAGACUAAUGCAAAACUCUUGUGUUAACGUUCUGUGAUCUGAAAAUGUUGGGCUUUUAUAUUGGCACAUUGAAAUAAACUGUAUUUCUAACGAAGUA